rnacentral:rRNA from 1 species
GUCUCAGUUCGGAUUGUAGUCUGCAACCCGACUACAUGAAGCUGGAAUCGCUAGUAAUCGCGAAUCAGAAUGUCGCGGUGAAUACGUUCCCGGGUCUUGUACACACCGCCCGUCACACCAUGGGAGUUGGUAACGCCCGAAGUCAGUGACCCAACCAAACGGGAGGGAGCUGCCGAAGGCGGGACCGGUAACUGGGGUGAAGUCGUAACAAGGUAAC